UACGUAGGGCGCAAGCGUUGUCCGGAAUUAUUGGGCGUAAAGAGCUCGUAGGCGGUUUGUCGCGUCGGAUGUGAAAGCCCGGGGCUUAACCCCGGGUCUGCAUUCGAUACGGGCAGACUAGAGGUAUGCAGGGGAGAACGGAAUUCCUGGUGUAGCGGUGAAAUGCGCAGAUAUCAGGAGGAACACCGGUGGCGAAGGCGGUUCUCUGGGCAUGAUCUGACGCUGAGGAGCGAAAGUGUGGGGAGCGAACAGG
rnacentral:rRNA from 1 species